rnacentral:lncRNA from 1 species
UUGUACCCAUUAGGUUAUUCUCAUGUCUUCCUUCAGGCAUACCUGAAGACAGCAUGUGCCUGCAAUGCUGCUGUGUCAAUUUAGGCAAACAAGCAACACCUGAAGCCACCCUGACUGUCUUCUUUAAACUCAUCAGUUCUCCUACAGAGAAAGGUUAUCUUAAAUUGAAGUCAAAUCAUCUGAUGAAACAACGCAAAUCUAGUAGGAGGGACCUCAGCAGUUAUGAUCAAACUGAGCUAGAAGUAUUGAAGAAAAAACAGACGUUGAGAGGAAACCCCACACACUCCAAGCCUGAUCUCCCAGUUCAAUGGCCUGAGAAAAUCUGA